AGCCCAGGUAGCUCAGUCGGCAGAGCGUUUCCUUGGUAAGGAAAAGGCCACCGGUUCAAGUCCGGUCCUGGGCUCCAG
rnacentral:tRNA from 1 species